rnacentral:rRNA from 1 species
UUCCGCGCCGUAGCUAACGCAUUAAGUGCCCCGCCUGGGGAGUACGGCCGCAAGGCUAAAACUCAAAGGAAUUGACGGGGGCCCGCACAAGCGGCGGAGCAUGCGGAUUAAUUCGAUGCAACGCGAAGAACCUUACCAAGGCUUGACAUAUACUGGACCGCAUCAGAGAUGGUGUUUCCCUUCGGGGCUGGUAUACAGGUGGUGCAUGGUUGUCGUCAGCUCGUGUCGUGAGAUGUUGGGUUAAGUCCCGCAACGAGCGCAACCCUUGUCCCGUGUUGCCAGCACGUUGUGGUGGGGACUCGCGGGAGACUGCCGGGGUCAACUCGGAGGAAGGUGGGGAUGACGUCAAAUCAUCAUGCCCCUUAUGUCUUGGGCUUCACGCAUGCUACAAUGGCCGGUACAGAGGGUUGCGAUACUGUGAGGUGGAGCUAAUCCCUAAAAGCCGGUCUCAGUUCGGAUUGGGGUCUGCAACUCGACCCCAUGAAGUCGGAGUCGCUAGUAAUCGCAGAUCAGCAACGCUGCGGUGAAUACGUUCCCGGGCCUUGUACACACCGCCCGUCAAGUCACGAAAGUUGGUAACACCCAAAGCCGGUGGCCUAACCCUUUUGGGAGGGAGCCGUCUAAGGUGGGAUUGGCGAUUGGGACUAAGUCGUAACAAGGUAGCCGUACCGGAAGGUGCGGCUG